rnacentral:rRNA from 1 species
UACGGAGGGUGCAAGCGUUAUCCGGAUUCACUGGGUUUAAAGGGUGCGUAGGAGGGCAGGUAAGUCAGUGGUGAAAUCUCCAAGCUUAACUUGGAAACUGCCGUUGAUACUAUCUGUCUUGAAUACCGUGGAGGUGAGCGGAAUAUGUCAUGUAGCGGUGAAAUGCUUAGAUAUGACAUAGAACACCAAUUGCGAAGGCAGCUCACUACACAAUUAUUGACUCUGAGGCACGAAAGCGUGGGGAUCAAACAGG